rnacentral:rRNA from 1 species
UACGUAGGUGGCAAGCGUUAUCCGGAAUUAUUGGGCGUAAAGGGUGCGUAGGCGGUUUAUUAAGUCUGGGGUGAAAGUGCAGGGCUCAACUCUGUAUUGCCUUAGAAACUGGUAGACUUGAGUGUAGGAGAGGGCAGUGGAAUUCCAUGUGUAGCGGUAAAAUGCGUAGAUAUAUGGAGGAACACCGGUGGCGAAGGCGGCUGCCUGGCCUAUAACUGACGCUGAGGCACGAAAGCGUGGGGAGCAAAUA